GGUCUUUUCAUGCUGCCUCUUUCUGGUGCAGUUUGUUUUUUGAUUAAGAUUGUGUGUUCAGGUACUCAGGAAUAUCCAGGCUUUCUGAGAAGAGAGGAAUAUGGAAACCUCGUGGUAAAUCACUGGCAUGAAACUGUACUGAAAUGGAAGGCACGAAAAGCAAUAAAAAGCCAGUCUUCUUCUGCCAAGCCAACCAGCAUGUUGAGUCAAGGGUUUAGGACAGAGGAAAUUAGCAUUUCUUGCUUACUGAUUAGAAUAUCCUUAUAUUGUAACUGUGUAAUCAAGCAGAGUUG